ACUUGAAUUGAAGAGUUUGAUCAUGGCUCAGAUUGAACGCUGGCGGCAGGCUUAACACAUGCAAGUCGAACGGUAGCAGGAGAAAGCUUGCUUUCUUGCUGACGAGUGGCGGACGGGUGAGUAAUGCUUGGGAAUCUGGCUUAUGGAGGGGGAUAACGACGGGAAACUGUCGCUAAUACCGCGUAUUAUCGGAAGAUGAAAGUGCGGGACUGAGAGGCCGCAUGCCAUAGGAUGAGCCCAAGUGGGAUUAGGUAGUUGGUUGGGGUAAAGGCCUACCAAGCCUGCGAUCUCUAGCUGGUCUGAGAGGAUGACCAGCCACACUGGAACUGAAACACGGUCCAGACUCCUACAGGAGGAAACAGUGGGGAAUAUUGCGCAAUGGGGGGAACCCUGAACGCACCCAUGCCGCGAGAAUGAACAAAGCCUUAGGGGUGUACAAGUUUUUCGGUAUGAAGAACGAUCAUGUGGUACUACUUCGCCAAAGGACGUGAAAAGCCGAAAUGGAGCGGCAACCCCCGGGCUCAUUCCGCUCUUUGUCCGCUUAUCCAGCUUCACCCGAUUC
rnacentral:rRNA from 1 species